rnacentral:rRNA from 1 species
CACGUAGGGUGCGAGCGUUAAUCGGAAUUACUGGGCGUAAAGCGUGCGCAGGCGGUUCGUUAAGUUCGAUGUGAAAGCCCCGGGCUCAACCUGGGAACUGCAUUGGAAACUGGCGAGCUUGAGUAUGGCAGAGGGGGGUGGAAUUCCGCGUGUAGCAGUGAAAUGCGUAGAGAUGCGGAGGAACACCGAUGGCGAAGGCAGCCCCCUGGGCCAAUACUGACGCUCAGGCACGAAAGCGUGGGGAGCAAACAGG